rnacentral:rRNA from 1 species
AUUGAACGUUGGCGGCAGGCCUAAAACAUGCAAGUCGAACGGUAACAGCGGAAGCUUGCUUCCGGCUGACGAGUGGCGGACGGGUGAGUAACACGUAGGAAUCUACCUAGUAGUGGGGGACAACCCGGGGAAACCCGGGCUAAUACCGCAUACGCUCUACGGAGGAAAGCGGGGGAUCUUCGGACCUCGCGCUAUUGGAGGAGCCUGCGUCGGAUUAGCUAGUUGGUGGGGUAAAGGCCUACCAAGGCGACGAUCCGAGCUGGUCUGAGAGGACGAUCAGCCACACUGGAACUGAGACACGGUCCAGACUCCUACGGGAGGCAGCAGUUAGGAAUCUUGGGCAAUGGGCGCAAGCCUGA